rnacentral:sRNA from 1 species
GCCUUCUCCUCGCUUCCGCCCUGCGCGCUAACCCAAGACGGGAGCUCGAGAGCUUGAUCCUGCGCGAGUUUACAGACUGCCCUCUUCCCUUUUUGCAUCGAAGACCACAACUCCCAAGAGGUAAUGCGUCGGCCCGGGACUACAUCUCCCGGCAUGCACCGCUGGCGGGUCCGCGAGUUCUCACCAUCCCAGCUGGACUAUUAGCGGGGGCCUUAGCGCUCUUGUGGUUUGUUUCGGCAGUAUUUGAAUGUCAGCUUUUGGCACUUCUGGUCGCUCUGAGCCUCCGACUCACAUUCCUGGAGCCAGGUGCUUUCCAGGCCUCAUGGAGGUGGAGGAGCUGAGGAAGCUCGAGAAGAUGGAUAGAAGUGGGAAAUGGAGCUAGCGUAGGGGAGAGGGAAAUGGGUGGAAUAUUCGUCAAUCUGUGGUGCUUUACUGGAGAUUUGCAGGACUUCAGAGGAAGGGGGCAUUGAAUUUCAUAACGUAAACCGUAUCGUGGUUUAUCAGAAAGUUUUGACCCGUGAUUCCGGUUUUAAAGGCUGAGUAGGGCCGGGCGCGGUGGUUCACGCCGGUAAUCCCAGUAGUUUAGGAGGCCAAGGCAGGCGGAUCACCUGAGGUCAGGAGUUGGAGAUAAACCUGGCCAACAUGGUGAAACCUCGUCUUUAGUAAAAAAUACAAAAAUUAGCCAGGUUUUGUGGCACAUGCCUGUAAUCUCAGCUACUCGAAAGGCUGAGGCACGAGAAUCGCUUGAACCCAGGAGGAGGUUGCAGCGAACCAAGAUCUCGCCGCCGUACUCCAGCCUGGGCGACAGAGCGAAACUGUGUCAAAACACCACCACAAGCUAGCUGAGUAGGGUUUCUUGGGCGAAGUGGAAGACAUUAAUAAGCAAAUAGGGUAGUAUGGGCGUGGAAACGAACUACAGGAUUAAAGAUUAGUAUUAUCUGGCGAGGGAGGAAAAGUGCCAGAGCAAGUGCCGAAACUGGAAGGUUACAUUUAGUUCAGGAUGUGAAGAGGCUUAAGAUCAUAUAAGGCCUGCACGGUGGCUCACACCUGUAAUCCCAGCACUUUGGGAAGCCAAGGUGGGGGAGGAUCGCUUGAGCUCAGGAGUUGGAGACCAGCCUGGGCAAGAUAGUGGGACCCCAUAUCUCAAAAAAAAA